AAAAACCCUAACCCGAAAACCCAUUACUGCUGAAAUUAAUGCACGCUGCCAUCAAACCCAAAAACAAAGAUCUGUGCUCUGCUCUAGCGACGGCUCCAGCGACGAUCUUCUCAGUGGCAUUAUCCUCCGACGAGAUUGUGUGCUCUCUCCAGCGACGAUAUCUUCUGGCAGGUUUUUUUCCGGCGAUGCGUUCUCCUCCGGCUACAAUUUCUGUGUGAGAGCAAGGUUGAUCUUCUUUCUCUCUCUCAAUUUUCUACUAUUGUCGAAAAUACCUGAAAGCUUGAAAUGGAAAAUCAAGUUGCAAAAACUUCACAAAACUAUGAUAUCUAUUGCGUAAGUGUUUCCUCAAACUAUCUUCUUCGGCGGCGAUCUUCUCCAUCAACGCUUCUCUUCCAUUGAUGAGAUCUGUUGUGCAAGUAUUUCCUGCAGCAUCGAGUUGUGUUCUGCGACUUCUCCAUCUCCAUCUCCAUCGAGCUUCAUUGAUCAUCUAGGUUUUCGAUUUUCUUCCUUGUCAGAAGAAAUUGAAGUUUUUGUUAUAAUAUCAAGUACGUGAAGCAGCUAUAAGAGCAAGUGAAGGUUCUAGAAACUGAAAGCAAAAGGAAAAGCGUGGAGUCUGUUGUGUAUGUUGAGAAAUCUGAGGUGUGCGGAGAGGAAGAUGUGUCAAACACUUGGUCAAAUUCAAGGGAUGAAAACUUGUACGAAGUCUCAAAAGCACUGAGUAGGUUGGUGUUGCCUGAAGUGGAGGCAAGUGUGAUUGAGAAGAACGUCCUCAUUCGGAUCCACUGCGAGAAACACAUAGGAGUGUUGAUGCACAUUCUCAAGCUCAUUGACAAACUCCAUCUCUCUGUUCUUAGCACCACUUCCUUGCCUUUUGGACCCUCCAUCGUAUCGAUAUAACCAUCACUGCCGAGCUUCUGUUUCAGAAUUUGUGAAAGCUGAGUUGUUACAAUGAAUUAGAUCAUUUCUUUUAUCAACUGCUAUAUGAUCAUGAAAGCAUUAUAUCAGUGUGUGCAUUCUCUGAAUGGUUACAUCAUGCUUGAAAAAGAGAAAAGAGAAAAUAAGGGGUGGGUUUUCCGAGUUCUGUCCAGGCAUGUAAACUUCAGGCGGGGAGCUUCUUGACAGAAUUUUGUCAAGGGGAGGAAAGUAUCUGGAGGAGGAUGCCAAAGCUAUAGUUUUGCAGAUUCUAAGCGUAGCUGCUUUUUGUCAUGGUUGUUGUAACCAUUUGGUAUCGUGCUCCUGAGUUGCUUCUUGGAGCAAAACAUUAUACUAGUGUUGUUGGUAUCCUUUUAUUUUACUUCCUUUUUAUGCAUAAGUUAAUCAUGUGUAGGUGUAUGUUUUUAUAUUCUAUGCUUUUGCAAUAUUUUAUAUUCAAGUGACUAUACAUUUGUACUCAUGUAUCUAUUGUUGACUUCAGGCUUAUACUUUCUUUACAGCUUAAUUCUUAUGGUAUUUCUCGUUAAUAUUAAUUUCGUUACAUUCUUGGUACUUUUUGCUAUCUCUAUUUUGACUUGAGGUUGUUGCUUUUUAUUAAAUCUCAGAUGCUAAAGUAUGGGUCUAGGGUCUACAAGAAUGGUUGACAUGUCAUAAAUAAGUUAUUUGAAAAUUUUUCAUUUGGGAUGCUGUGGAAUAUACAUAAUCCAAGGAUAUGCUCAUGAAAUUAAUGGGUUUGUCUUCAUUUUUGCUCACAGUGAUAACAACAGUCUCUAUAAUGUGGUUCACAUAUCUCUAAAAAGUUCUGCAUUUGACCUUUUGUCAAAGAUGCUUGAAUAUAUAUGAUCCUCGAAAGCGUAUUACAGUAGCACAAGCUUUGGAACAUGAAUUACAUGCGUGAUUUGUUCUCCAUGUCCACAAUAUACAGGAUGGCCACCAAGAGGGAAAGGAAAAGCUUCUAAAUGGGGGCAACAAACAAGUCAUCCGCACAACCUUUUGAAGAAGCUCAACAAGUUGUAGCAACCUGUCCACCUUGCUCUUCUUUACAUGCACCGAGGACGGUGCAAAUUUUUAAGGGUGGGGAGGUCGUCCGACCGAUCUCCAUGGGUAACUGGUGCACGAAAUUGUAAGGGAAACAAAACAAAAUUCAAGCUAGUGAUGGAUGACAAGCACAAUAUGCAGGCUAGCAUUCUUAGCAAACAUCUCUACUUGCACUUAAUUGAAUACUUCAGCAAGACAUAUAGGAAUUUCCAAAUUAAAAUACUUCAAAGCAACAAGGAUUAAGUGUCAAUACAACCUGUUGGGAAUGUCUCUCAGCUUUUUCUUCUGUCAUUAUUAUUUCUCUUUAUUGUACUUUCUUUGGACAAUGAUGCAGACUCCCUCCACAGGUUGAAUGUUUUCCUGCAUAAUCCUCAAAAGUUGCUUGUUUCUCAAGCCCUUAAGCAAAUGGUUAGCUAACAUGACUUAUUUGUGGGCAUUUUGAACUUACUUUGGUGUGUGAACACCAAACUUAGUCUCUUGCCAAUGUUUCUUAUGUAUCAAGUUAACCAUAUGUGAAACCCUUCUGUCUUUGCUAAAGGUAAUAUAACUAAAAACUAGAAAACAGACAAUGGUUAAGUAGUUUCUCUGAUUGCUUGGAGCUAGCAACCCUUUAUGCAG